UAAAGCUGCACCAAGAAACAUUCCAAGGAUAAUACAGACUGCUCUUAAGUACCUGCUAUAUGUCAUCAUCUUCAUCAUCUAC
rnacentral:sRNA from 1 species